GAUGAACGCUGGCGGCGUGCCUAAUACAUGCAAGUCGAGCGAACGGACGAGAAGCUUGCUUCUCUGAUGUUAGCGGCGGACGGGUGAGUAACACGUGGAUAACCUACCUAUCAGACUGGGAUAACUUCGGGAAACCGGAGCUAAUACCGGAUGAUAUUUUGAACCGCAUGGUUCAAAAGUGAAAGACGGUCUUGCUGUCACUUAUCGAUGGAUCCGCGCUGCAUUAGCUAGUUGGUAAGGUAACGGCUUACCAAGGCAACGAUGCAUAGCCGACCUGAGAGGCGGAUCGGCCACACUGGAAGGUAGACACGGUCCAGGCUCCUACGGGAGGCAGCAGUAGGGAAUCUUCCGCAAUGGGCGAAAGCCUGACGGAGCGACGCCGCGUGAGUGAUGAAGGUCUUCGGAUCGUAAAACUCUGUUAUUAGGGAAGAACAUAUGUGUAAGUAACUGUGCACAUCGUGACGGUACCUAAUCAGAAAGCCACGGCUAACUACGUG
rnacentral:rRNA from 1 species